rnacentral:rRNA from 1 species
UACGGAGGGUGCGAGCGUUGUCCGGAAUUAUUGGGCGUAAAGAGCUUGUAGGCGGUUUGUCGCGUCUGCUGUGAAAAUCCGGGGCUCAACCCCGGACUUGCAGUGGGUACGGGCAGACUAGAGUGUGGUAGGGGAGACUGGAAUUCCUGGUGUAGCGGUGAAAUGCGCAGAUAUCAGGAGGAACACCUGCGGCGAAGGCGGGUUGCUGGGCUGACACUGACGCUGAUGCGCGAAAGCCAGGGGAGCGAACGGG